rnacentral:rRNA from 1 species
UGGGGAAUCUUGCGCAAUGGGCGAAAGCCUGACGCAGCAACGCCGCGUGCGGGAUGAAGGCUCUCGGGUUGUAAACCGCUUUCAGCAGGAACGAAAAUGACGGUACUUGCAGAAGAAGGUGCGGCCAACUAUGUGCCAGCAGCCGCGGUGAUACAUAGGCACCAAGCGUUGUCCGGAUUUAUUGGGCGUAAAGAGCUCGUAGGUGGUUCGGUAAGUCGGGUGUGAAAACUUUGGGCUCAACCCAAAGCCUGCAUCCGAUACUGCUGUGACUAGAGUUCGGUAGGGGAGCGGGGAAUUCCUAGUGUAGCGGUGAAAUGCGCAGAUAUUGGGAGGAACACCGGUGGCGAAAGCGGCUCUCUAGACCGAUAUUGACGCUCAUACGCGAGAGCGUGGGUAGCAAACAGGAUUAGAUACCCCAGUAGUCCCUGAGCGGGCUGGCAAGGCGCAU